AACGAACGCUGGCGGCAGGCCUAACACAUGCAAGUCGAGCGAGGACUUCGGUUCUAGCGGCGGACGGGUGAGUAACGCGUGGGAAUGUGCCCUUCUCUACGGAAUAGCCCUGGGAAACUGGGAGUAAUACCGUAUACGCCCUAUUGGGGAAAGAUUUAUCGGAGAAGGAUCAGCCCGCGAUGGAUUAGGUAGUUGGUGGGGUAAUGGCCUACCAAGCCGACGAUCCAUAGCUGGUUUGAGAGGAUGAUCAGCCACACUGGGACUGAGACACGGCCCAGACUCCUACGGGAGGCAGCAGUGGGGAAUCUUAGACAAUGGGGGCAACCCUGAUCUAGCCAUGCCGCGUGAGUGAUGAAGGCCUUAGGGUUGUAAAGCUCUUUCAGCUGGGAAGAUAAUGACGGUACCAGCAGAAGAAGCCCCGGCUAACUCCGUG
rnacentral:rRNA from 1 species